ensembl:lncRNA
GCGUCUGAAAACGCCAGGCUCUGUCCUUUAGGCUUUCUUCCUUUCUCAUGAGACAAUGUUGUAAUGUGAGUGGUUUUCUGAAUUUGUUGAUUUAAAUGUGUAAAACAUCAUUUCAUUUUGUCCUCAGCUUUCGGAAGUUUGACUUUGCUGGGUUUUUUUGGUGUGGAUUUCCCCUUUUUGGAAUUCUUUUUUCCAGCUUAAUUCUGUGGGUUUAAGGCCUUUUGCAGAAUCUCAGCUGUCCCUGUCCUUAUUUGUGUUUUCUUUAGCAUUUCCAGCUCUGUCUUCACGCCCGUCUCCUCCAGGACCCUGCGAGGUGAAGCCGUGGCCCUGCAGUCCCUAGCGUUCUGAGAGACUCAGGCUGUUCCUGGGACGACCAGGACACACACAGUGGCGGAGGCGACAGGCACCCGACGACCCGCGUGUGUCCCCUCAGGGCGCGUGCACAGACGGGGAAACGCCCACGAUGGCCUCACCUGAGCUUGUGUCCUGACGAGGGCUGGGCGCAGGAACCGCGGGGCCAGCCUGCCUCCGGCCCAGGCCUCAGUGCUGCGCUCUGUGCCCCCAGCCAGCGGAGGCGGCGAGAAGCCUCAGGCCCUGCUCUGCCCGGCAG